GACUCUCUUGGCGGGGAGCGGCGGCCGCU
rnacentral:sRNA from 1 species